CCCCGGGGGCGGGUCCGAGAGGCGGUGGCGGCCGCGGCUGGGCGUCUUGGGCGCUGUGAGCCGUGGGAGCUGCAGGAAGCCGGUCUCUGCCUGCGGCCCUGUGCUGCCUCGCCGGAGCCCUUGCCUUCCCAGAGAGCGAGGUUUCACCCACCCCAGCAGGACUGUUCCUGUUCCGAACGCCUCCUCUCACAGGGCUGGGCUCACUGGGGCUGCGGGGGGACCCACGCCGCCUGAGUCCACAGCCUGCACCUGCCGAAUGCCUAAUGUAUGGCCUCAGCCAGCCAAGUUCAUGGCAGCGUGAUGCCCGAUCGUCAACCGGGAGAAGUAACCCAAGCGUCCAUCAGUGGCUGAAUGGAUCAAGGACACGUGGUGGCUCCAUGAGCUGAUGUCUUAAUCAGCCUUGGGAGGCAAGGAAUUCUAACCUGUGGCUCAAUGUGGAAGGACCUAGAGGACCCUGUGCCCAGUGAAACAAUCCAGACGCAAAAGCACAAACACUGAAGGACCCCACCUCUGUGAGGUCCCUAGUGGGAGCACGGUCGCUGGGGCCGGGGAGGGUGCUUCAUGUUUGAUGGGCAGUUUCAGUUUGACAGGAUGAAGCGCAUUGCGGGGUGGGGACAGCUGUGCAACAACCUGGACGCACCUAUUACCACCGAACAGUACCCUUGGUACGCUUAGAAACAGUUGAGGUGUGGAGUUCCCGUCGUGGCACAGUGGUAAACGAACCCGACUAGGAUCCAUGAGGACACGGGUUCGAUCCCUGGCCUCACUCCAUGGGUUAAAGGUCCGGCAUUGCCA